rnacentral:rRNA from 1 species
AGAACGAACGCUGGCGGCAUGCCUAACACAUGCAAGUCGAACGCUUUUGGGGCUUCGGUCCCAAAGGAGUGGCGCACGGGUGAGUAGCGCGUGGGAACCUGCCCUGUUGUGGGGGGAUAACCGAGGGAAACUUCGGCUAAUACCGCAUACGCCCGGGGGAAACUCCGGGGAAAGAUUUAUCGCAGCAGGAGGGGCCCGCGUCGGAUUAGGUAGUUGGUGGGGUAACGGCCCACCAAGCCUGUGAUCCGUAGCUGGUCUGAGAGGAUGAUCAGCCACACUGGGACUGAGACACGGCCCAGACUCCUACGGGAGGCAGCAGUGGGGAAUAUUGGACAAUGGGCGCAAGCCUGAUCCAGCAAUGCCGCGUGAGUGAUGAAGGCCUUCGGGUUGUAAAGCUCUUUCGCACGCGACGAUGAUGACGGUAGCGUGAGAAGAAGCCCCGGCUAACUUCGUGCCAGCAGCCGC